UACAGAGGUCCCAAGCGUUGUUCGGAUUCACUGGGCGUAAAGGGUGCGUAGGUGGUGAGGUAAGUCGGAUGUGAAAGCUCGGAGCUCAGCUCCGAAAUGGCAUUGGAAACUACCUUGCUCGAGGGUUGGAGGGGGGACUGGAAUACUUGGUGUAGCAGUGAAAUGCGUAGAUAUCAAGUGGAACACCAGUGGCGAAGGCGAGUCCCUGGACAACUCCUGACACUGAGGCACGAAAGCUAGGGGAGCAAACAGG
rnacentral:rRNA from 1 species